rnacentral:rRNA from 1 species
CAGAGUUUGAUCAUGGCUCAGAUUGAACGCUGGCGGCAUGCCUUACACAUGCAAGUCGAACGGUAACAGGUCUUCGGAUGCUGACGAGUGGCGAACGGGUGAGUAAUACAUCGGAACGUGCCCGAUCGUGGGGGAUAACGAGGCGAAAGCUUUGCUAAUACCGCAUACGAUCUACGGAUGAAAGCGGGGGAUCUUCGGACCUCGCGCGGACGGAGCGGCCGAUGGCAGAUUAGGUAGUUGGUGGGAUAAAAGCUUACCAAGCCGACGAUCUGUAGCUGGUCUGAGAGGAUGAUCAGCCACACUGGGACUGAGACACGGCCCAGACUCCUACGGGAGGCAGCAGUGGGGAAUUUUGGACAAUGGGCGAAAGCCUGAUCCAGCCAUGCCGCGUGCAGGAUGAAGGCCUUCGGGUUGUAAACUGCUUUUGUACGGAACGAAAAGCCUCUUUCUAAUAAAGAGGGGUCAUGACGGUACCGUAAGAAUAAGCACCGGCUAACUACGUGCCAGCAGCCGCGGUAAUACGUAGGGUGCAAGCGUUAAUCGGAAUUACUGGGCGUAAAGCGUGCGCAGGCGGUUUUGUAAGACAGAGGUGAAAUCCCCGGGCUCAACCUGGGAACUGCCUUUGUGACUGCAAGGCUGGAGUGCGGCAGAGGGGGAUGGAAUUCCGCGUGUAGCAGUGAAAUGCGUAGAUAUGCGGAGGAACACCGAUGGCGAAGGCAAUCCCCUGGGCCUGCACUGACGCUCAUGCACGAAAGCGUGGGGAGCAAACAGGAUU